rnacentral:rRNA from 1 species
AUGGCACCGCCGGCGACGUCCAUGGCCGAUAUACCGGAUGUGAUGCUCGAGGAAAUCUUCCUCCGCCUCACAGCUGCCGAAGACCUCGCCCGCGCCUCCACCACCUGCCCCUCCUUCCGCCGUGUCAUCGCCGACCACGCCUUCCUGCGCCGGUACCGCGCUCUCCACCCGCCGCCUCUCAUCGGCCUGCUCCAAGACACCUUCAGCCCAGCCCAGCCGCCGCACCCCUCCGCUGUCGCCGCUCGCGCCUUCCUUGGCUUCGACUUCUCCUGCUCAUCCAUCCUCCCCUCCACCCCCGGCCAUACCUGGCGUCCAGUUGAUUUCUUUGACGGACGCGCCCUCCUCGUCGGCCCCCCAAACAAAGAAGACCGCCAAUUUUGGGUCAAGGACCUCGCUGUGUGCGACCCCAUUCACCACCGCUAUGUCCUGCUGCCCGCCAUUCCAGACGACCUGAAAGCGCUGGCUCCUCAGCUGGACCUCCUCACUCUGGAGGCCUUCCUUGCUCCCGGCCAGAAUGAGGAGGGCCCUUUAUCAUUCAGGGUGAUGUGCGUGGCGCAAUUUGGAUGUUUUUCUGUGGACGUCAAGACAUUGCAGGUCGAGUUUUUCGCUGAGCUUAGCAAACACUUACCUGGACGACUAUAUGCUGGUUUCCCACCAUCAUUGUGUGCACCAACUAUUUGA